UACGGGGGGGGGCAAGCUUGUUCGGAAUUACUGGGCGUAAAGGGCUCGUAGGCGGCCAACUAAGUCAGACGUGAAAUCCCCUCAGCUUAACUGGGGGAACUCGUCUGAUACUGGAUGGCUUAGAUUGGGGAGAGGGAUGCGGAAUUCCAGGUGUAGCGGUGAAAUGCGUAGAUAUCUGGAGGAACACCGGUGGCGAAGGCGGCAUC
rnacentral:rRNA from 1 species